rnacentral:pre_miRNA from 1 species
UCCCUCUUUAAGGUGGCGGUGAAAUGUGCUUUUUCCCAACAUUUUAAUAUUCAUAUCACAGCCAGCUUUGAGGAGCGAUA